rnacentral:lncRNA from 1 species
AUAAGGUUGCCUUUGUUGAAGUGGAACAUAAGGUUGCAUGUUCUGUUGAUACCUAUUGGAGGAUGAAUCAUGAUAAUUCUGGUAUGGUCUAUUUCCUCCAAACGUGUUCGCAGCAAAAGCUUGGGAUGAGUUUUCCACAUUAGUUUCCAUCAAGCUAGGACAUUCAUCAGUGUAGUGAUCAGUUGAAAUGCAAAUUCCACACUUCUUAGCAAUUUGUGGAGUGGAGGUUUUAAACAAACUUGCAAUCUUGUCGAGUUUGCUUUCUAAGUUAUUCAAUCUUUCAUCUAUCCUCCUUCCAU